AGGGGGAWUGCCUUAGUAACGGCGAGUGAGCGGCAAAAGCUCAAAUUUGAAAUCUGGCGUCUUCGACGUCCGARUUGUAAUUUGAAGAAGGCGACUUUGUAGCUGGUCCUUGUCUAUGUUCCUUGGAACAGGACGUCAUAGAGGGUGAGAAUCCCGUGUGGCGAGGAUCCCAGUUAUUUGUAAAGUGCUUUCGACGAGUCGAGUUGUUUGGGAAUGCAGCUCUAAGUGGGUGGUAAAUUCCAUCUAAAGCUAAAUAUUGGCGAGAGACCGAUAGCGAACAAGUACAGUGAUGGAAAGAUGAAAAGAACUUUGAAAAGAGAGUGAAAAAGUACGUGAAAUUGUUGAAAGGGAAGGGCAUUUGAUCAGACAUGGCGUUUGCUUCGGCUUUCGCUGGGCCAGCAUCAGUUUUAGCGGUUGGAUAAAUCCUCGGGAAUGUGGCUCUGCUUCGGUAGAGUGUUAUAGCCCGUGGGAAUACAGCCAGCUGGGACUGAGGAUUGCGACUUUUGUCAAGGAUGCUGGCGUAAUGGUUAAAUGCCGCCCGUCUUGAACCACGGACC
rnacentral:rRNA from 1 species